UACGAAGGGGGCUAGCGUUGUUCGGAAUUACUGGGCGUAAAGCGCACGUAGGCGGAUAUUUAAGUCAGGGGUGAAAUCCCAGAGCUCAACUCUGGAACUGCCUUUGAUACUGGGUAUCUCGAGUAUGGAAGAGGUGAGUGGAAUUCCGAGUGUAGGAGGUAGAAUUCGUAGAUAUUCGGAGGAACACCAGUGGCGAAGGCGGCUCACUGGUCCAUUACUGACGCUGAGGUGCGAAAGCGUGGGGAGCAAACAGG
rnacentral:rRNA from 1 species